rnacentral:lncRNA from 1 species
CUUCAUUCUGCCGAUUUUUCUCUUAACUUUUUCUUUUUCUUUCUUUUUUCUUUUUUUUUUUUUUUCUUUUCUUCAUUUGUUCCUUCUAUUUUCUUUUCAAUUUCUUGGCAUUUUGGAGCAAAUCAAGAGCACAAGAAGGAGAAUAAAUUAAAUGAAGGUGGAGAUUAAUUGACGAACUCAAGAUUCAAGCAAAUCCAACAAAAAAAGGGUUUUAUCUUAAAUCUUGGAUUUUCUUUAUUAUUUUCAAUCAUUUGUAAUAUAUUGGAUGAAUAUUCUCCCUUGUUAUCACAUAUAUAAUAUGGGCUAAUUACUUGAGUUGGGAUUUAUGGAAGUAACUUAACUUAGCUUUUAAUUGAUUUUAAUAUUUGCCCCUUUAAUAUUAAGCCCCUGUUUGAGCUCCAUUUUUUUGGGAAGAAUGAAUUUUUGAAUAGUGUAUUAAUGGAAAAUGUAUGGUUAAAAAUAAGGAAAAAUUUUGGAUUUAUAUGUAAUAUUAUUUUAUUAAAAAUGUGUGGUUGAAAUGAUGUCAAAACACUGUUGAAAAAUGUAUUUUUCAAAACAAU